GAUGAACGCUGGCGGCGUACUUAACACAUGCAAGUCGAACGGAAAGGCCCAAGCUUGCUUGGGUGCUCGAGUGGCGAACGGGUGAGUAACACGUGGGUGAUCUGCCCUGCACUUUGGGAUAAGCCUGGGAAACUGGGUCUAAUACCGGAUAGGACCAUCGUUUAGUGUCGGUGGUGGAAAGUUUUUCGGUGUGGGAUGAGCUCGCGGCCUAUCAGCUUGUUGGUGGGGUAAUGGCCUACCAAGGCGUCGACGGGUAGCCGGCCUGAGAGGGUGUACGGCCACAUUGGGACUGAGAUACGGCCCAGACUCCUACGGGAGGCAGCAGUGGGGAAUAUUGCACAAUGGGCGCAAGCCUGAUGCAGCGACGCCGCGUGGGGGAUGACGGCCUUCGGGUUGUAAACUCCUUUCGCCAAGGACGAAGCGUUUUGUGACGGUACUUGGAGAAGAAGCACCGGCUAACUACGUG
rnacentral:rRNA from 1 species